GGACUACGGGGGUAUCUAAUCCGGUUCGCUCCCCCAGCUUUCAUCCCUCACCGUCGGGCGCGUUCUAGCAGACAGCCUUCGCCACUGGUGGUCUUCCCGGGAUUAUAGGAUUUCACCCCUACCCCGGAAAUACCGUCUGCCUCUCCCGCCCCCUAGCCGAGCAGUAUCCCCCGCACACCAACAAUUAAUUUGCUGGAUUUAACAGGGGACUAACUCAGCCAGCUACGGAUGCUUUAGGCCCAAUAAACAUCCACACCACUCGGAGAGCUGGUAUUACCGCGGCGGCUGACACCAGACUUGCCCUCUCCUUAUUCUCCCAGCUUGCUAAACUGAGUAAAAGCCACCCUCAGCGGACGGCACUCGGGAUAGCCCUGUCACACUUUCGUGUAUUGCAAAGUUUGCGCGCCUGCUGCCUCCCAUAGG
rnacentral:rRNA from 1 species